rnacentral:rRNA from 1 species
UACGUAGGAGGCGAGCGUUGUCCGGAAUUACUGGGCGUAAAGAGCGCGUAGGCGGCGCUGUACGACCGCUGUGAAAGCCCCCGGCUCAACUGGGGAGGGUCAGCGGUUACGGCAGUGCUCGGAGUCUAGGAGAGGGGAGUGGAACUCCGGGAGUAGCGGUGAAAUGCGUAGAGACCCGGAGGAACACCAGUGGCGAAGGCGCUCCCUGGCCUAGUACUGACGCUGUGGCGCGAAAGCUGGGGGAGCGAACCGGG